rnacentral:rRNA from 1 species
UACGGAGGGUGCAAGCGUUAUCCGGAUUCACUGGGUUUAAAGCGCGCGUAGGCGGAAGGUGAAGCGUGGCCUGAAAGCCCCCGGCUCAACCGGGGAGGGCGGCUGCGAACUGGCCUUCUUGAGGGCGAUAGAGGGGGGCGGAAUUCCUGGUGUAGCGGUGAAAUGCGUAGAGAUCAGGAGGAACACCCGUGGCGAAGGCGGCCCCCUGGGUCGGCCCUGACGCUGAGGCGCGAAAGCGUGGGGAGCGAACGGG